CACGCCGUAAACGAUGAGCACUAGGUGUCGGGAUCGCAAGAUUUCGGUGCCGAAGUUAACGCAUUAAGUGCUCCGCCUGGGGAGUACGCACGCAAGUGUAAAACUCAAAGGAAUUGACGG
rnacentral:rRNA from 1 species